ensembl:lncRNA
AUGAUCGCAGCCUGGGAAGAACCAACAUCACAUAUAUCAGAAUUUGGGUUUUUCUGGCAAUCCAGUUUUAUCAUUGUUGAGAAUUCUUUUCCAGUGAUCUUUACUCCCUUACCGACUUGUGCACAGGUUACUAGAUUUAUUUGCGCCAUUACAGCAGGAAUUUGUGCAACAAUACUUCUGGCAAGGUCAGAAUCUCCACUUUGCAAAUCAAGAUUAAAGUUGUGUCCGAGAAUGUCGAGACAAAUCUGCUCAAAUGUUCCACACAACUUUUCUGCAAAGUUUGUCACUUCAUUCAUUGCUCCAUUGGUCAGUUUGUCGAUAUCCAGUUUUUUGUUUUGUUGAUGUUUGUUGACAUGUAGCUUCAGACCUAUUUCCUCGCAGAAGGGAUAAUGAUCCACACUCUUGGCUGAAAUAUGUUCUGUAGUUUCAGCAUGUGAAUGAGGAGGACACACAGGAGCAACAUCACACCCCUCCAUUCUCAGUAUUCUGCUGAGUUCAUGUUUUACACUGUCCACAGUGUGAUUCAUCAUAUUUAUUGAUGGCAUGGGACCAGGAAGUUCAGAGACCUCUUUUGAGAUUUUGACUGCGCCUUCACAUCUUCUCAGCUUUCUUACUCUAUUCAAAAUUUCAGAAGUGAAAAUAUUCUUUUGCCAUUUACUCUGCAGGCAGAUAUCAAAGUUGUACUCAAGAAUCUCUGUGAUGAAAUCCUGCCGGGAAGAAUUCAUUGCUAAGGCAAAUUUAGCAACUUCAAGCAGAUAAUUAGGCAAAGAGUCAAUACUGAUGUUUUGCUUUGGGCCAAAUCCAACAUUGAAUUCAAUGCAAAAUUCCUUAGAUGGACCCAACUCUUUGUUUAGUGAGGAGAGGAUUUGUUUUACACAAUUAGCGCGCAACUUCCACAUGUUGUUCUCAGUUCCCAUUUCCUCUUGUUCCAUGUCACAUGUAUUGCCAGUGUCUGAGUCUAGAUCAGACUCUCCUAGAGGACAAGUGUAGUUGAUCUCUGCUCUCAUUUCCUCUUGUUCCAUGUCACAUUUAUUGCCAGCGUCUGAGUCUAGAUCAGACUCUCCUAGAGGACAAGUGUAGUUGAUCUCUGCUCUCAUUUCCUCUUGUUCCAUGUCACAUUUAUUGCCAGUGUCUGAGUCUAGAUCAGACUCUCCUAGAGGACAAGUGUAACAAUGAUCUUCCUUUGUUAUUUGACCGGUAUACAUAGUGUUAGGAGAGAGUGUGUUGGUCUCCAUUUCUUUAGACUGUUCUCUUCUGCACCUUUUGUUUCCCCUUUCACCUGUUGUUGACAGAGCCGUCUUUUCCUGUUUACUUUUUAAAUCAGACUGCCUUCUUUUUGUCACUUCCUUAAGCUGAUACUGUGGGCCUUCCACAUUGGACAGUGGUGAUCCAGUAGUUCUCUUGAAGGGAUUUGUCUGGAACGAAAACCUCUCAUUUUUAAACUCCGGGGUCAUUUUGCUACCAGUGGUGAGAAAUCGCUUUCUUCUUUUCAGCAGGUGUGAUAUCUUGAACCAAACUCGACUUUUUGCCUGUCGACUACUGACAUCGAGUUCAAAAUUGUGCUCCAACACACCCAGAACAAUAGGGCUGUAGGAUGCAGUCAGAAUUCUGGUGAAGUGUACCAAUUCUAACAUCACACCCUUUGUCAACAAACCUGGAUCUAGACUUUGUUUUGACCCAACAUCAAGGCUCAGACCAAUUUCUUCACAACAAGGAAACAAAAGGGGAAGAACAGCCUCUCUCCGUGCUUCUGCUGACUGUGUUUCUGAACCCUUUAAUUCAUCCUCAUGUUGACGG